ensembl:misc_RNA
UAGAGUUUGAACUGCUCUGGGUACGCUGGCAAAACAAGAUCCUGGGGCUGAAAAGCUGAGUAUAUGACCCUGAUGAACA